rnacentral:misc_RNA from 1 species
UACGGGGGGGGCGAGCGUUGUUCGGAAUUACUGGGCGUAAAGGGUUUGUAGGUGGCCUAUCAAGUCAGACGUGAAAUCCCUCGGCUCAACCGAGGAACUGCGUCUGAAACUGAUGGGCUUGAGUGCAGGAGAGGAACGCGGAAUUCCAGGUGUAGCGGUGAAAUGCGUAGAUAUCUGGAGGAACACCGGUGGCGAAGGCGGCGUUCUGGACUGUUACUGACACUGAGGAACGAAAGCCAGGGGAGCAAACGGG